rnacentral:rRNA from 1 species
AGAGUUUGAUCCUGGCUCAGGACGAACGCUGGCGGCGUGCCUAAUACAUGCAAGUCGAGCGAACCAAUAAGAAGCUUGCUUUUUGUUGGUUAGCGGCGGACGGGUGAGUAACACGUGGGUAACCUGCCUGUAAGACCGGGAUAACUCCGGGAAACCGGUGCUAAUACCGGAUAGAUUAUCUUUCCGCCUGGAGAGAUAAGGAAAGAUGGCUAUUGCCAUCACUUACAGAUGGGCCCGCGGCGCAUUAGCUAGUUGGUGAGGUAACGGCUCACCAAGGCGACGAUGCGUAGCCGACCUGAGAGGGUGAUCGGCCACACUGGGACUGAGACACGGCCCAGACUCCUACGGGAGGCAGCAGUAGGGAAUCUUCCGCAAUGGACGAAAGUCUGACGGAGCAACGCCGCGUGAGUGAAGAAGGUCUUCGGAUCGUAAAGCUCUGUUGUUAGGGAAGAACAAGUAUCGGAGGAAAUGCCGGUACCUUGACGGUACCUGACGAGAAG